AUACAGCCUUGAAUACUGCACCUUACUCUACGAUCGGAUACGCUCGAUUCCUUCUUAUCCUCUAUACAAAACUUUGCGAAUUUUCCUGCUCUAUCUGCAAAACUUGACAUUUCCCGAACUUCUUUUGUCUAUUUUCUCAUCCACUUUACACCUUAUCUUCUACCUACUAUAUGCUCUUAUCAGUUUCUAUUCAGGGUGUCUAUUGAUAACGCUGACCGAAAUGUCCGUAGAAAAUUCCUCCCGUUGUUUCUUGUACCAUGAAGUCCAACUGUAAAACGCACUGUUCCUACGAGCUGUAAAAGAUUGCCCUAACUUUUUGCAGUUGGUUGAGAAUAAUUGUAUCGUUUUAAUGUCUUAGAGCAGUUAAAAUAUUUAUUGUUCUAUAUCGAGUUAAAUUUUAAUCUUAAGUCAUUGUUUGUCUGUUUUUGGAACUUAGAAUCGAACUAGAGAAAGAAUAGAUCGAACUAAAAUGAAGAUUAAUAAAUUAGCAUCGACGAGAGCGACUGUGUAACAUUUAUCGGCUUUAUUGGCGCCGAUUAAUCUUCCAGUUCGGCUCGUCGCCGAUCUUUUCUAGAGAAAAGGAGAAAGUAAAUGAAUUAUUAAUCAGCAAAAUUCGAUGUACGUGUCGCUCACCGAAUUAACUAUUUAGUCAGCUUUUAAGUUCGGAUCGAUUAAUCGACCCGCGUACGGGCGAGAAGUCGAUCCGAUCGGGCCGAUAUUUAAGCGAACGAUAACGGAAGCUCGCCCAUGUGCGCGCGAUAGAUAAUUGUUCACCCCGUGAUCGUUCGUAUACGUGGACGCGGAGACUCGAUUGCUUCCUGUGUAGUUGUCGUCUUCAGUAGGCACCCUGCUGCUGGUUUUCGUUCUUUCGACCACCACUCUCGCCCCCUCAUCAUCGUCUGGUACUACUACUACCGACGUCUCCUCGAUCAAAAAAAAAGAAAAAAAAAUACAGAAAAAAAAUAGAAAUGAAAAUGAAACAGCAUUGAAAGCGCGCCGUACAACACGUGUACGUACCAACAUAUGAUCUACGCAUCGUUAUUAUAAUUCCUUUAUUUUUCAGGGGUUGUCUUUCCGAAUCUCCAUCGCGAACACUAUCGCUUUACUCUCUUGCGAAUAACGGCGCUUCGUUCGCGAUCGUUCCCAGGGCCAGGGAUUGUUGACUGCUCAAGGAUGCAAGUAAAUUUAUUAAGAUUUAUUGACAAUUUUUUUUGUCAAGUGCCUGUUUAGAUAAAUAUCAGACUCGAGAGACGAGGCUUUCCAAAAGAAUAAAAAAAAAAUGUGUAACGCAAAGUGGACGAUAUCAGUCAUGUAAUAUCACAUUCAUUGUAUUAUGUAAAAUUGCCUCUAAACGGCCAAUCGGUCCACCAAAAAUUGUGCCGGAUUUCGGUCGUGCGAUUUUCUUCCGAAGAUAGAAAAUUAUAUAUGCAUAUACAAUUUUCCAUCUUUGGCAUAAUCAUAUGUAUAAUAAUUAUAUAAAUAUUGCAUAUAUAAAAAAAAGAGGAAGUUUAGAAAUUUGUUUAUAAUACGUAUAUUUGUGAAUUUUAUAAUUGCGUAAUUAUUUUCGAAGGAUAAUUAAUUGUGGGAUAAAAUUGCGCGAGCCAAACCCGGGGAUUGCCCUCGUUUCUUUCAUUCUUUGUUUUUCUUUUUAAUCUUCGUAAAGAGAGAAGCGCGUUCACGCAAAGCCUCGCACUCCGGCGAUUCGGCAGGACAAUCUAACAGCAGAAUUUGGAAAUGUAGAAGUUCUGUUAUUUAUUGAGUGUCAUAUUAUCGACAUGUUCCGAAUAAAAUAAAGAAAACGUUCUGUGGAAAGCUCGAAAGUUUUGGGCAUAGUCUGCUGUUCUGGGAUAUGUCGAUCUCGCAGUCGGUUCCCUCGCCUACGUCCGUUUUGCGACAGGGUUGACAGAAUCUGUGUCACAUUUUUAUAAUUGUAUAAUCUAAUACGUAAAUGUAUGUCUUAAUAUAUUCUUGUAUCUUUUUUGUUUAACUCGUGGAUUGAAAAAAUGUGAUGUGAUCGUGACGUUGUCGCUGGAUCCGUAUCCCAGAAUUGCGGGCGACAGCCACAUAUUGUUUCAACCAAUCACAGCAAUCUCAUCGCUGUUGGACCUAAUCGGUCCCUUGCCUCAAGGCAGGCGAUUGUUUGGACCUACCGUCCUAGAGUCGAAGCAACCGUGUCGCAACCUCUCGAUUUUCUCAGAUCGAAAACUUGUACCGACAACAAGAAAAGCGAACGAGCUCUCCUCUAAGACUUUCCAAUUCCAGUUGUAUAAUUUAAGAAAGAGGCUGGAAGAAAAUUGCAGAAGCGAAAAUCUUAUUUGAAAAAGAGCGAGCACAGAUUUUUAUUUAAAAAGUAAUGUCGCUACGUUAACGCGUUUCGAUUUAAUGCAUUUUGAGAAAAUUAUCUUUUUAUAGCACUUAUUUUAUUAACUGUCAAUAAUGUAGCAUUCCUCAUAUUUUUUGCGCGAUAAAAUAUCUUUACUUUUUUUUUUUUUAUACGAAGUUUAUACUUAUACGUUUUCUUCCAGACAACGGCUCGAUUCGGCUUUUUGAAUUGCAUCAGGGUUGAAGAGGGAGGGAAAAAAGAAAUCGGAGGGGGUGUGACGGUUCUCGGCUCGGCGGACGCGUGGCUGGACCGAGAAACAAUAUUAAUCGUAAAUAAUCGGUUAAUGAAUCGCGGGUAAAUCGUAUUAACCGAUCGAUCGUUCGGAACGUCGAAACGAGAGAAGAUUGUGUUCAGAUGUGUAGAGCGAUGCAAUUAGCACGUAUCUCUUGUCGACCAAUUUUAAUCCUUUCAAGACGCUUUCUGAUCGCUUGGCUUCUGUAGAAAGACACGCAUCCCUAAUUAACACUACCGUUACGAUCGGCAAUUGUUUAGGUGUUACCUGUUCUUAAUUCUAAAAAAGAGGGAAAGUAGAUAUUUUAUUAAUGAAAUAAAUAUUUAUUCCAUAAAUACAUCUUUAUUUUGUUUCGUAUUUUUCUCAUUCGAAAACUUAUAUUUUUCAUUGCCUACGUUUAUCUCAUUAAUCUUCCAGAAAGAAAUUUCUUUUCAAAAUACGUAAAGAGAAAUUUAAUAAAAUUUUUUUUGAAGUGUAGAUAAUACACGUCUCGUUGUUCUACGAUAAAAGAAAAUUAUUCCGAGAGUCAGUGAUCUGAUUCUCAACCAUAUUAUUUCUGUUAUAUUAUUGUUAUCUCGAAAGAUUAGUUUUGAAAUUAUUCAGAUUUUUGCUAAGAUCUUCCGCAUAUCUCUUUUGUCAUUUCGUUUACUGCAUUAUCUCCAAAGUGUCGAAAGGAUUAACGAUGCAUAAUUGCAACCUGGCUGCGUCAUGGAAUAAUUGCGAGUGAUUUCAAAAUUGCCUUGCACUCGAGAUUUUUCCUGUUUUCCUUCCCGCCCUCCUCCCCCUUUUCCUUUUUAGUUGACGGCAAAUUUGCGAGAGCGAAUUUUCGCCGAACAAGAUUUUCGCGGCUCUCGUCUUCGACAGUUCGAUCGUAUCGUAGAAUGCUUAGCUGGUUCUCUCUCUAUAUAUAUUAUAUAUAUAUAUAUUAUAUGUGUAUACCGAUAUCGUCCUGUAUCCCCUUGCGCUCGCGCGCAAGAACCUCGCCUCCUCUGUUCCCUUUUUAAUAUCCUUACGUCCCCCUUUACGCUAAUAAUGUCUUUACACUUGGUGACAGCGGAUGCACGAUAUUCGCUCUCGUGGGGAUCGCUUUUGCUCGACGAACCGGUAACACGGUCGCUCUUUGUCAUCCUAAUACUAUUAUCCCGCGACUCGGUCCGUUCGGGAAUAAAACGUGCCUCUUCGGGAUCGCUCCGACGCGACGUCUCUCUCUUCCUCGCCGAUCGUCGAGAUGUUGUAACGAUUGCGACUAUCAUUCUUUUUACAAGAUUAAAAUAAAAAAAAUCUCCGUUAAUCUGUUAAUCUCGUUCGGGCAUCCUAUGUAUCGAUUUUGUUUACCUUUUUUCUUUAUUUGUUAAUUUCUAUUCUUGUUACGAUCUUCGUAAUCACAUCACAUUAUCGUUUGUAGAAGCGAUCAAGAAAAAAUAUCGAUAAAAUCGGUGUUCCAUUAUUUUUAUCAUUCUCGCGUGAAAAUUUUCUUCUCGCGAUUUUAUUUCAAUGACUUUUCAUGACCCUAAUAACGCUUAAUGACUCUUUAGGAAGUGUAAUCCCGGUAAAUUUGUUCUUAAAUGUUUUUGCUAUUUUACGUGUUAAUAAGGAAUUUGCGCAAAUAGCGUGUGUAAUUUUCCGUUGCAAUGGCUCAACGGCGCUACAUCGUCGAGACGUUUUAUCGCGUGUUCACUUAGGCAUUUAACGGCGCGAUGUUCUAAACCGCUUAGCCAGCUUCGCUUAAUAAACACAACGACGUAUUAGAGAGCCGAUUUACGCGCAAUUUCAACGGCUCCACUUUAACUUCGUGGACGUGCUAAAAAAAAAAAAAAAAAAAGAGGCGGCCCCGCGAGAAAGCGAGACUGACUUUUCGCGAAGGAACGCCGCGAUCGUUAGCGAGGGGGAGGGCGGAUUUUGCGAAUCGAGGAAAGAGACGUGAGACGCCUCUCUCGUCGCUUUAUUUCCGAAGCGAGGACCGACCGCGGGCGCUCUAGACGUAGACUUUCUAUCCUUCUACAACCUUGUUGUUUUCAGCCGACUGCGUUACGAGCAGAACGGACAAUAAUGAUCGAGGAAAAAGAGAGAUGAGAGAGAAAAAAAAAAGUAGCAAAGUGACACGAGUGUGUGUAUCCAUUCAGACUGAUCAAUAAAAUUCAUUCGAACGAGAAACACCGAGCGAUCUCACGAUCGAAGUCGCGGCGUGUCGCGAUCAGCGAAAAUCGCUGAUCGAUCGACGGAGAAGACAGAAGGGAGGGAGGAAAAAAAUAGAGAUUGAUCGAAGUGAAAAGAUUUAGGAGGAAUCAGGCUGUGACUUCGAGCGUGACAACGCUCGUCUAUUUUAUUUUAGACUUACAUGAUCCUUGACCAUAAGCGAAUGUUUCACCGCGUUAGCAUAAUCUAGUCGAAUGCAACAGAUUAAAUAUCACAAUUGAGAAUCCUGAAUUGAACAAAUAAAAAUAAAAUUAUAUUUACGAAAAAAAAAGGAAAAAUUUAAUUCGAUAAAAUGACGUGAAGUUUUACGAGGCUUCAGAAAACUGAAUUGAACAAAAUACAGUUGGAUCUAUAGCUUGCGAUUGAACAAUGAUAAAGAUUAAAAUAAAUUCGCCAUUAAAUUUGCAAGAAAAUCGCAUUGAACCAAGCGCGUUACGUAAGACUUGGUAAUUAUGAGAAUUGAAUUGAAUCGGAUUGAACAACAGUGACGGAUUUAUCGUCUCGCGCGAAUGAAGCUAUAAUUAAAUCAAGCCUGCGUGGUUCGCGCGGAACUCUUACGAGGGGGCUCAGGGAAAAAGAUCGCUCUGAUAACUUGACUUGAUAUAACUUGAGUAGAUAAUCUCUCCUGCGAAAGUGGUUCAGCCGCGUGUAACUUUCUAUGAGACCGUGGUUUCUCAUCGCUUUCGCGUUCAUUUCCCUUCCUUUCUCGGCGGAAAAUUAUUUUCUGCGAUUACGAAAAUUUACGGGACGAUCUUCCAUUUCCACUGCUCGAUCGGCAGAAAUCUUUUUUUUUUAUUAUUAUUAUUGGCGAUGUAUCGCGCGCGUAAAGCGUACAUACCCGCGACCGCAAAGAAAUCCGCGCAAGAAAUGUCUCGCAUGUUGCAAACGAGAAGUAUCCAACGCUCGGAUGAGCUCGCGAGUCUACGAAUUGAUGCAGCGCGCAGCGGUUAAAAAAUUUGCAAUUUUUUUUUCUCUCAGCCCGAUGGAAUCGACAAUUGAAGCCCUUCUCACUUUCGAACCGUGCCUCGAGAUCGCGUCUUGCAUAACGCGCAUUGUCGGUAGAGCGGCCAGUCCCCGAGACGGUUUGGGAAUAAACUGCAUAGAAAUUGAUAGACCGAUGCCGCGAGCGAGAGAUUAUACAACGAACGCUCGGGCCACGGGCGAGAGCGAGUUGCGGACACUCCUGCGAAUGCCGAUGGCAUAGUUCGAAAGUCAAAUGCCAUGCUGCCUUUUCUGCGAAUCGAUAGGUGCUUCGCCAGUUUCAGGAUUAAGCCAACAAAGAGAUUGAAGGUUUUCAAUCUCGCAGCGGUAUUAAUAUUAAUAGAAGAUUAGCAGGGGGGAACGAGGCGAAAGGAAGAGCGACCAGGCAAGGUCUUCGAGUCUACCGGAGGAUGAAUCCAGGUUGAAUAGGUGAACCGAUCGAUUACCGGUGAACGGCGGGACGAGCUAAUCGACAGUACUGAAUGUUGUUGUUUUAACCCGCAACCGUCGCCUGCACCCGGUGCAAGAGGAAACCGAGCAAAAUUUUUUCACACGGACAACAGGCGCGAUUGGUAUUACUUGAUUAUUCAUAAAUAAAUGUUCUGGAUCGCAAUACGAACGAAUAUGUACGAGCCAUCUUUGUUUUAAAUAAAUUUCUCCGACAACGAUUUAAA
rnacentral:lncRNA from 13 species